GAUGAACGCUGGCGGCGCGCCUAACACAUGCAAGUCGAACGGCACCCACCCUCGGGUGGAAGCGAGUGGCGAACGGCUGAGUAACACGUGGAGAACCUGCCCCCUCCCCCGGGAUAGCCGCCCGAAAGGACGGGUAAUACCGGAUACCCCGGGGUGCCGCAUGGCACCCCGGCUAAAGCCCCGACGGGAGGGGAUGGCUCCGCGGCCCAUCAGGUAGACGGCGGGGUGACGGCCCACCGUGCCGACAACGGGUAGCCGGGUUGAGAGACCGACCGGCCAGAUUGGGACUGAGACACGGCCCAGACUCCUACGGGAGGCAGCAGUGGGGAAUCUUGCGCAAUGGGGGGAACCCUGACGCAGCGACGCCGCGUGCGGGACGGAGGCCUUCGGGUCGUAAACCGCUUUCAGCAGGGAAGAGUCAAGACUGUACCUGCAGAAGAAGCCCCGG
rnacentral:rRNA from 1 species